rnacentral:rRNA from 1 species
UACGGAGGAUGCAAGCGUUAAUCGGAAUUACUGGGCGUAAAGGGUGCGUAGGCGGUUGUUUAAGUCUGUUGUGAAAUCCCCGGGCUCAACCUGGGAAUGGCAAUGGAUACUGGGCAGCUAGAGUGUGUCAGAGGAUGGUGGAAUUCCCGGUGUAGCGGUGAAAUGCGUAGAGAUCGGGAGGAACAUCAGUGGCGAAGGCGGCCAUCUGGGACAACACUGACGCUGAAGCACGAAAGCGUGGGGAGCAAACAGG